rnacentral:rRNA from 1 species
GACGAACGCUGGCGGCGUGCUUAACACAUGCAAGUCGAACGGAAAGGCCCUGCUUUUGUGGGGUGCUCGAGUGGCGAACGGGUGAGUAACACGUGAGUAACCUGCCCUUGACUUUGGGAUAACUUCAGGAAACUGGGGCUAAUACCGGAUAGGAGCUCCUGCUGCAUGGUGGGGGUUGGAAAGUUUCGGCGGUUGGGGAUGGACUCGCGGCUUAUCAGCUUGUUGGUGGGGUAGUGGCUUACCAAGGCUUUGACGGGUAGCCGGCCUGAGAGGGUGACCGGCCACAUUGGGACUGAGAUACGGCCCAGACUCCUACGGGAGGCAGCAGUGGGGAAUAUUGCACAAUGGGCGGAAGCCUGAUGCAGCAACGCCGCGUGCGGGAUGACGGCCUUCGGGUUGUAGACCGCUUUCGCCUGGGACGAAGCGUGAGUGACGGUAAUGGGUAAAGAAGCACCGGCUAACUACGUG